GCUGGGCCAAUUGUGCGCUCCUCAUGGGUCUCCCGGUCACAGCCGGCUGUGACACAGCCUGGGAUUGAACCCAGGGCUGUAGUGACGCCUUAUGCCGCUGCGCCAUCUGGGAAGCCUUUAAGGUCAACAGUUGAAGAGAGAAGACACUGCUGGGAGGGGGCCAUAGGGUCCCACCUCAAAGACCAUCUGAUCAAAGUCCUAUCUCAUACACAAUUCCACGCCCAAGAGGGUCCUAGACUUAGGCAGGGCCAUGACAAUACCAGUAAGAGGCACCGACCGAGUUUCUGCCAAACAACAGAAAAGGAGUGUUUAUCUUGGACAUACAAGGAGGGGACUCCUAGUCAUAGUGCAGAGGGUGAGGAGGAUGAUGGAGAGGAGGAGGAAGAGCAGAGAGAAAACAACGACCUCUGGAGAGAAUGAUUUCGACACUGACACUGCCCAUGACCCCAUGACCUCUCCCACCGGCGCCAUGGCAACUGCUGCUGUAAGGGGAAACAGUGAGUGAGAGAGGUGGAGAGAAAGAGAGAGAGUUUGUGGGUGCAUACAUGCUUUCGAGUGUGCUUUGGUGAAAUAAAAGUGUUGGCUCAUCUA